UACGUAGGGUGCGAGCGUAAUCGGAAUUACUGGGCGUAAAGCGUGCGCAGGCGGUUCGUUGUGUCGGCGGUGAAGCCCCGGGCUUAACCUGGGAAUGGCCGUCGAAACUGGCGAACUGGAGUGUGGCAGGAGGGGGGUGGAAUUCCGCGUGUAGCAGUGAAAUGCGUAGAUAUGCGGAGGAACACCGAUGGCGAAGGCAGCCC
rnacentral:rRNA from 1 species